GCUGCAGGCUUAACACAUGCAAGUCGAGGGGCAGCAUGGUCUUAGCUUGCUAAGGCCGAUGGCGACCGGCGCACGGGUGAGUAACACGUAUCCAACCUGCCGUCUACUCUUGGACAGCCUUCUGAAAGGAAGAUUAAUACAAGAUGGCAUCAUGAGUCCGCAUGUUCACGUGAUUAAAGGUAUUCCGGUAGACGAUGGGGAUGCGUUCCAUUAGAUAGUAGGCGGGGUAACGGCCCACCUAGUCUUCGAUGGAUAGGGGUUCUGAGAGGAAGGUCCCCCACAUUGGAACUGAGACACGGUCCAAACUCCUACGGGAGGCAGCAGUGAGGAAUAUUGGUCAAUGGGCGCAGGCCUGAACCAGCCAAGUAGCGUGAAGGAUGACUGCCCUAUGGGUUGUAAACUUCUUUUAUAAAGGAAUAAAGUCGGGUAUGGAUACCCGUUUGCAUGUACUUUAUGAAUAAGGAUCGGCUAACUCCGUGCCAGCAGCCGCGGUAAUACGGAGGAUCCGAGCGUUAUCCGGAUUUAUUGGGUUUAAAGGGAGCGUAGAUGGAUGUUUAAGUCAGUUGUGAAAGUUUGCGGCUCAACCGUAAAAUUGCAGUUGAUACUGGAUAUCUUGAGUGCAGUUGAGGCAGGCGGAAUUCGUGGUGUAGCGGUGAAAUGCUUAGAUAUCACGAAGAACCCCGAUUGCGAAGGCAGCCUGCUAAGCUGCAACUGACAUUGAGGCUCGAAAGUGUGGGUAUCAAACAGGAUUAGAUACCCUGGUAGUCCACACGGUAAACGAUGAAUACUCGCUGUUUGCGAUAUACGGCAAGCGGCCAAGCGAAAGCGUUAAGUAUUCCACCUGGGGAGUACGCCGGCAACGGUGAAACUCAAAGGAAUUGACGGGGGCCCGCACAAGCGGAGGAACAUGUGGUUUAAUUCGAUGAUACGCGAGGAACCUUACCCGGGCUUAAAUUGCAGAUGAAUUACGGUGAAAGCCGUAAGCCGCAAGGCAUCUGUGAAGGUGCUGCAUGGUUGUCGUCAGCUCGUGCCGUGAGGUGUCGGCUUAAGUGCCAUAACGAGCGCAACCCUUGUUGUCAGUUACUAACAGGUUCCGCUGAGGACUCUGACAAGACUGCCAUCGUAAGAUGUGAGGAAGGUGGGGAUGACGUCAAAUCAGCACGGCCCUUACGUCCGGGGCUACACACGUGUUACAAUGGGGGGUACAGAGGGCCGCUACCACGCGAGUGGAUGCCAAUCCCAAAAACCUCUCUCAGUUCGGACUGGAGUCUGCAACCCGACUCCACGAAGCUGGAUUCGCUAGUAAUCGCGCAUCAGCCACGGCGCGGUGAAUACGUUCCCGGGCCUUGUACACACCGCCCGUCAAGCCAUGGGAGCCGGGGGUACCUGAAGUGCGUAACCGCGAGGAGCGCCCUAGGGUAAAACUGGUGACUGGGGCUAAGUCAUAA
rnacentral:rRNA from 1 species